rnacentral:rRNA from 1 species
AUGAUCGUCGACAUAUCCCACUCCAACAAGAUCAUGGUCGAGAAGUUCACCGUGCCCGUCACCGUCAAGACCGCCAAAGCCAUCGAGAAGAUCCUCACCCACAACGGCCAUGGCGUCCUGAACCAAAUCCUGUCCAAUCGGGAGGUCAUCGGCAUCAACGACUGCAAGAGCCGCUUCAUCUACCGUGUUGUCUCCUCCAUGUUCAACACCGUCGCCGUGAAGAAGGUGGCCAUGCUAGGUUCGCCUUCAAGAAGGAUACCGGUGACACCCGCAAGACACCGCCGGUGGGCCGUGGGCGAGCCCGCCGGGCAGCCCGUCACCGUCACAUCGGACGCGUACGAGGCCGUCCGCGAUGCGCACGCCGUCUGCAUCCUGACCGAGUGGGAUGAGUUCAGGAGCCUCGACUGCUGGCGCAUGUACAACGUGAUGCAGAAGCCGGCUUUCGUCUUCGCCGUCGCAGGAUUCAUCAUCUAUGCAAUUGGCAAGCCGCUUGACCAAGCCCAGUGGCUCAAGGUCAUGCCAGCCGUCGCCUGA